AGUCUCGACUUCCUCUCCCUCCUUGUCCCCCCAUGACCCCAUAUCACCUCCAUCUCAAGCCAAACUCCCUGCUCGCCUCACUCUCCCUCUCAUGGCUCCAGAUUGCAGCGACGCUUCCCACCAGAUUGUUCGCGUCAAACUUCACAAUAAACGACUUUGGAGUCUGAAUUGAACACUCUGACUCUGUGUUUGGUCUCUCCGACUCCGUUAACAACGAUUUAAUCUACUCCGUUAACCCUAUCUCUUGAUUUUGUUUGCUGGUUUCAUCGUUGUAGCUAAUUUUAACUUUUUCUUUCUGCGUUUUCAGGUAUUCAAACUUUUUCUUUCUGCCUGUGAAAGUUUUGACUUUCAGUCAUGAGGCAUUUCUCUGCAUAUCCCAAACAAACGGCGAAGAUGAAUCAUUGCAGCCUUCAGAGCGCCUUUGCAUCCUGUGACGAGAGGAGCCCCUUCUCUAUCUCCCAUUGUUUGCCCGAAGCCUCGUAGCCUUGGCCUCUUGAUUCAUGUCAUCAAUGACUCAAUCAGACCUUUGAGAUGGCAGUCGAGGCGGUUGUCUCUAUAAUUAAAUCCAGCCCAUGCAAAAGCACAAGUUGAACCCAAUUGGGCUCAGGCUAGGCCCCCUAGUUGCAGCUCCAUAUGUGGCUAAAGAACUGGAAUACAACUCAAAAAUGCAUAGUCAGCUGCUCACCUGGAAGACAAUACAUAUGAUUGAAUUGAAGAGAUUAGCAUCAUAAGGCAUAAUGGAUGGUACUGGAACUUAUCCUAGCAUAUGAAAGGCCUCCUUGCUUAUUGGACCCAAGAAGAUCAUAUAUGGGGCUCACCCAAUCCAAAUAAAGGGCAGACUAGAAAUUGGAUCCAAGAUUCUCUAGAAGCCUAGAAAGUUCCGGAAGAACUAAAAUUCAGUCCAGGAUUCCAUUGACAAUGUUGGUAUAAAUCCUUUCAUCCCAUUUUCUUUUUACAUCAAACUUUUUUUUUUCCUUUUCAAAUUCCUCAAAAAUAAAAAAAGGUUGUUAAUAUGGAUGAACAAGUUCCUCAGUCCUCACGUCCUCUUUGUUCUCCUUAAACAUGUAGCAUAGAGUGUAACUACCCACAAAUUUUAGAUAACGAAAGAUUAUGAAAUUUAGAUUAUAAACCAUCUUUCAUUUUUGGUUCAUUUUUAUGUAACUACUCACAUGUGAUGUGUAUGCUUAUGUGGGUAGAAGAAUUAGGCUCUAGAAGGUAAUUAUAUGGGCAUGGGUUUGAUUUCUUAGAACCAUGAAAGUCAGUUCUGCUGGUGCAAGUCUCUAUGUGUUCUGGUUAGAUCAUUGACUGAAGUAGAGGCAAUGACUC